GUGGUGGUAGUGGUGGUGGUGGGAUUUUAACGACGAGGCGGUUCAAUGGGGGGGUUGGCUGUCGUGGAGAAGCAGAAAACCUGGCUCGUCGCCUAGGCGGAUAUUUCACGAGAGCUGGAGCGAAAAACGUUCACUUUAAAGGAGAAAGGAUAACGACGAGUGCGAGCCAUUUUCUAUUGGAAAGGGGGGAGGGACAAACCAUGCGAAGCUUGAAAGGAACGACGAUUGCAGAGACAUCCUCGUAAUGACGCAUUAACGUCUCGUUAUAUUUUAUGUGUUGACGCGAGAAAUGCUGUCAAAAGAGAAAGUACAUUACGAGGCAACGAACGUGAGUCCUACAAUGUAAAUUUAUAGUCUAACAAUGUUAGAGAAAUAAAGACAUUUAAUUAACCAUUA